GACGUAGGGGGCAAGCGUUGUCCGGAAUUAUUGGGCGUAAAGCGCUCGCAGGCGGUUUCUUAAGUCUGAUGUGAAAGCCCACGGCUCAACCGUGGAGGGUCAUUGGAAACUGGGAGACUUGAGUGCAGAAGAGGGGAGUGGAAUUCCACGUGUAGUGGUGAAAUGCGUAGAGAUGUGGAGGAACACCAGUGGCGAAGGCGACUCUCUGGUCUGUAACUGACGCUGGGGAGCGAAAGCGUGGGGAGCAAACAGG
rnacentral:rRNA from 1 species